GACGCAGCGGCUUGGCGGCAGCGCCGUGGGAACCGGCUGUCUCCAGUGGGCGGCGCGCUCCCGGUGUCCGGCCCCAGCCCCAGCCCCGGCCCCGCCCUCGCCCUGCCUGGCUCGCGCGGCAGCAUGGCGGGCCCCGGCCUGAAGCGGCGCCCGCCGGCGGCUCCCGCGGCGGCCACAGAGGAGGAGCGCCAGGCGCGGGAGCGGAUGCUGGCCGCGCGGCCGGCGGAGGGUGAGGGCGUGACCCUGCAGCGCAACAUCACCCUGCUCAACGGCGUGGCUAUCAUCGUGGGCACCAUCAUCGGCUCGGGCAUCUUCGUGACGCCCACCGGCGUGCUCAAGGAGGCGGGCUCGCCCGGGCUGGCGCUGGUGGUGUGGGCCGUUUGCGGCGUCUUCUCCAUCGUGGGCGCGCUCUGCUACGCCGAGCUGGGCACCACCAUCACCAAGUCUGGCGGCGACUACGCCUACAUGCUCGAAGUGUACGGCUCGCUGCCCGCCUUUCUCAAGCUCUGGAUCGAGCUGCUCAUCAUCCGGCCCUCCUCGCAGUACAUCGUGGCGCUCGUCUUCGCCACCUACCUGCUCAAGCCGCUCUUCCCCACCUGCCCGGUGCCGGAGGAGGCCGCCAAGCUCGUGGCCUGCCUAUGCGUGCUGCUGCUCACGGCCGUGAACUGCUACAGCGUGAAGGCCGCCACCCGUGUGCAGGACGUCUUUGCUGCCGCCAAACUCCUGGCUCUGGCCUUGAUCAUCCUGCUGGGCUUCAUCCAGAUUGGGAAGGGUGACGUGUCCAAUCUGGAUCCCAAGUUCUCGUUUGAAGGCACCAAACUGGACGUGGGCAACAUUGUGCUCGCGCUGUAUAGUGGCCUCUUUGCCUACGGGGGAUGGAACUACUUGAACUUGGUCACAGAGGAGAUGAUCAACCCCUACAGAAACCUGCCCCUGGCCAUCAUCAUCUCCCUGCCCAUCGUCACCCUGGUGUACGUGCUCACGAACCUGGCCUACUUCACCACGCUGUCCACGGAGCAGAUGCUGACCUCGGAGGCCGUGGCCGUGGAUUUCGGGAACUACCACCUGGGAGUCAUGUCCUGGAUCAUCCCCGUCUUCGUGGGCCUGUCCUGCUUCGGCUCCGUCAACGGGUCCCUCUUCACGUCCUCCAGGCUGUUCUUCGUGGGGGCCAGGGAGGGCCACCUGCCGUCUGUCCUAUCCAUGAUCCACCCGCGGCUCCUGACGCCCGUGCCCUCCCUUGUAUUCACGUGCGUGAUGACCCUGCUGUACGCCUUCUCCAGAGACAUCUUCUCCGUCAUCAACUUCUUCAGCUUCUUCAACUGGCUCUGCGUGGCCCUGGCCAUCAUCGGAAUGCUGUGGCUGCGCUACCGCAAGCCCGAGCUGGAGCGGCCCAUCAAGGUGAACGUGGCCCUGCCCGUGUUCUUCAUCCUGGCCUGCCUCUUCCUGAUCGCCGUCUCCUUCUGGAAGACGCCCGUGGAGUGCGGCAUCGGCUUCACCAUCAUCCUCAGCGGCCUGCCCGUCUACUUCCUCGGCGUCUGGUGGAGCAACAAGCCCAAGUGGCUGCUCCAGGGCAUCUUUUCCACGACGGUCCUUUGCCAGAAGCUCAUGCACGUGGUCCCCCAGGAGACAUAAGCAGCAGGAGCCAAGGAGCCCCCGAGGAGAUGCACAGGCUCAUAAAUGACCCACCCCCGAAGGCCACUCGCCCGUCAUCCAGGCAGCUCAGCCACGCGUCCCCAUGUCCCUUGGCCGGGCCGGGCCGGCCACCGCGAAACCUGGUACGAAUUCACUCCCUGCAGCCGGACGUGGCAGGUACCUCUCGAGCGUGGAGGCGAGAGCGUUGGACAGAGAAGAGACCGCGGGCCUCCUGCCGUGUCGGGCCUUCUCCCUUCUCACCUCUGUUUAUUUGUAUUAUUAUUUUUUUAACUUAAAUCUUGGGUUCGGCCGACGCCACCAAGACGAUUAUUUUUUAAAUACAUUAUGGAGGGGGCAGUGUUUUCUCCCCUGGCGCCGCCCGCACACGACGUGCCUCAGAGGGACCGGUCCCCUCGCCAGAUUGGGGCAGGUCUCCGGGAAUGGGGUGGGGGUUCCUGCCCGGACGUGGCCGCACCCUCUGGACAGCAGCCCGACGUGUGCCCUUGGCUUUUCCUUGUUCGUUGUUAGAGACGUAGCGACACUCGUGAAACUAACCCCAGGGACUUUGGUCUCUUUGCCUUAAAGACCUGAACUGGUUCCUCCCCGCCCCCACCCCAGAGGGAGCGAACAGCUCAGCGAGAUGCCGCGGGCUUCGGGAGGAGAGGCCUCGGGCUGCUCCUACAUCCUGGCCCCGUUCUCCAGAAAGGACCUGCUCCUGGGUUCCAGGCCCGGCGUCUGCUGCGGCGGGGGCUGAGCCCAGGGCGGGCCAGCUGGCCCAUCUGGCGCUCCUGCCGAUGUGCAGAACGGGCCAGUUCGGGGACCAGGCCCUGUCACUCAGGAUACCUUUGGGCACCUGACUGUAUGUACCCAGCCCGGACAGAUCUGAUCUACUGGUUUUGGAGCCAAGCUGUAGCUCUUUCAAAGCUCCAUACUUGAAAUCUUCUAGAAGCAGACACUGCGAGCCCUCGUGGGCUUCCCGUCCGGGUCCCUCGAGACUGCCUCUCCUGGGCCUUGAGGCCUGGACGGCAGCCAUCUGGGCCUGUCCCCUCUCCUGUCACCUGUCCUGGGCUCGAUUCCCAUUGUCCGGCAGCCGGAGCCCAGCCUUCCCCGCUCCGCCUGCACCUGCUCCGGAGGCCACCUGACUGGGGUCCCUCCCACGGAGGCCGCGCCAGCAGGCUUUGUUUUUGUGGUUCCCAUGGCGUCUUCCCCUGGGGAGGCAGCUGAGGCCCAGAAGCUCAGCUGGCCUUCCCGGGCUGUCACUGCAUCCAGGGAGCCGGUGUGGGGAGCAGCGGCAUCCAAGGUCAGACUGUCUCCCUUCAAGCCCAUCUUAGGCGCUGGGGGCUCUGCCUUGGCCUCUGACCGCUGACCUUCCCACCAGGGAGGGUUGAGUCCAGGCAUCAGGCUUCAUUGCUCAGCUGCGGCCACAUGAGCAUCAAGCGGCCAGUCCAGCCACAGCCACCCCCUGGGCCCUGGCCCCACGAGGUGCUACCGGCCCCGAGAGACCUGACAGGCAGCUUGUGGGGCCCGGCUGGGCAGGGAGGCUAUAGAGGAGGCGGCCUCUGCUGGGCAGGAGACCCUGCCACCCUGAGGCUCCUGAUGCACCGACAUCCAUGGACGACUCUGCAUCAGCUGAGUCCUCCUGGGCCCCGAUCCCUGCCUCUCAGGGUCCAGCUCAAGUCUGAGGCCAGGACGUCACCAAGCAGCAGGAGGCCUGGUCUGCCUUGGGCCUUGGUUUUCUCAUCUGCAAAUGGGGGCGGUGGUUGGUGUGUCCCUGCCUCGUAGGAUUGCACAGAGAGGACACUGACCGUUGUGGCGACCACAGCCCCAGGCACAGGUGGCAGGAUGCUGCCCAGCUGGCACUGCCCUCGGCCUCUCUGCUGGGGCUCCAGCUAUGUCCGAGCACAUUCCUGCCUCUUCCCUCAGGGGUGGGGCAGUACUUGGGGUGCGUUGAGGUCCAAACCCCCGGUCCUGGGUGUGACCUGCCAGCACAGGGAGCAGGUAGGCUUCCCUGGGGCAUUGGACCGGUGCCCUCCUGCAGGGUGACUGCUCCCUGGGCCCCAUUUUCACACUGUAAGGUCAGAGGUUGUUCUGAAGCACGGCCCCCUGGCAUCUUGAAGGCAGGCUGGGGCCGGGUCUGCGGUUCAUGGGGCUGUGUCCCCCGCAGUUCAGGGACCCCCCGUGAAGGCAGGCCCGUCCCGCCCCCUGGCCCUGCUGUGUCUGCGCCCCGGGGCCACCUCCGCUCCAUGUGACCACACUACUGACCCAUGUCCCGAGCGUCCUGUUUGGGGGUCACUUUUCUCCUGAGCUGAAUCCUGGCAUAACAAGCGCGUGAGUGUCCAGCUGCUCUGCUUUAUCUCGUCCUCGCGUCUCGCUGGUGGAAAGGGUGCCGUCUGCACCGUGUUUGUUUAUCGUAGGGCGGCCGGUCCGGCCACACCGCCGCCCGCUGCUGCACCCCGUGGCAAUGUCUGUGACUUCGUGCCGCUUCCGCUUCUAUUAACGGCUAACCUGUUCAACUUGGCUGGUUUGGGGUGGGGUGUUCUGGUUUGUGUGUGGGGGGGGUGUUUGUUUUAAAGAACACUUGGAAUUAUAAGCACUGCUGGU